AGAGGUACCGGCCCUCGACCCGCUCUGCACGCUGCAACUGGCGGUGCACCAGGGUCGUGCAACCAACCCCGCGGCCGUACUGCCGGAGCCAGGAUCAGCUUCCGUCUCCGUGGGCGAGGAUCCGUUAGGCGUGUCGUUCAGCACGUGUUUAUUGAGCAAGUACUGCAGCCUGGGUUCUGGGCUUGGACAGUUCAGGCACGGGUAAAAGGCUGGUGGACCUUUGACCGUUAGUGAACACAGAAGAGAAAGUUCGUGCCGGGCUGAGGUCCUCCCGAUUUGCAUAAGAUGGUCCUGCAGUCUCCAGAGAGGUGACUGAAGCCGCUCUUUGAAAGGGAUGGUGGCGUUAUUACAAAGAGGCUGUGCCGUGGGAAACGAUGACUGCGAGACUUGCGUGCACUGGGCAGCCUUGGAACAGCCGUGGCCCCCAGCUCUUCUCACCUCAACAAGGAAGUCAUAGCCACGGACACUCAGGGCCUCAGUUUCCCCUGCACGUGUAGACCAUCACUGGGCUCUGGCACAGGUGCAUGUGUGUAUGGGGCAGGGUCGACAAAGCACCCGCGGUACUGGAGCCGCCUAGGAGGUGCCACAGCCGGGCUGGGACAGAAAGAGAG